CAGGCCUAACACAUGCAAGUCGAACGAGACCUUCGGGUCUAGUGGCGCACGGGUGCGUAACGCGUGGGAAUCUGCCCUUGGGUUCGGAAUAACAGCGAGAAAUUGCUGCUAAUACCGGAUGAUGACGUAAGUCCAAAGAUUUAUCGCCCAGGGAUGAGCCCGCGUAGGAUUAGCUAGUUGGUGGGGUAAAGGCCUACCAAGGCGACGAUCCUUAGCUGGUCUGAGAGGAUGAUCAGCCACACUGGGACUGAGACACGGCCCAGACUCCUACGGGAGGCAGCAGUGGGGAAUAUUGGACAAUGGGCGCAAGCCUGAUCCAGCCAUGCCGCGUGAGUGAUGAAGGCCUUAGGGUUGUAAAGCUCUUUCACCCACGACGAUAAUGACGGUAGUGGGAGAAGAAGCCCCGGCUAACUUCGUGCCAGCAGCCGCGGUAAU
rnacentral:rRNA from 1 species